rnacentral:tRNA from 1 species
UUGGCUCAGAGGUUAAAGCAUCUGCAUGCAAUGCAGGAGACCUGGGUUCGAUCCCUGGA